UACGUAGGGGGCGAGCGUUGUCCGGAGUUACUGGGCGUAAAGCGCACGUAGGCGGUCAUGCCAGUUUCCUCUGACAGGUGAGGGCUUAACCCUGGCAGGCGAGGAAAGACGACAUGACUUGAGUGCUUGAGAGGGACGUGGAAUUCCAGGUGGAGCGGUGAAAUGCGUAGAGAUCUGGAAGAACACCAAAGGCGAAGGCAACGUCCUGGCAAGUCACUGACGCUGAGGUGCGAAAGCUAGGGGAG
rnacentral:rRNA from 1 species